rfam:Candidatus Nomurabacteria bacterium RIFCSPHIGHO2_01_FTLL_38_19 rifcsphigho2_01_scaffold_52688, whole genome shotgun sequence.
UUACAUACAGUAAUGUAUAAUAGAAGAUAUGAAAGAAGUCAGCAGCGUUCGUAGUACCAAUCGUAAAGAUGCUCGGUUUAAUCCCAAGCUACAACUUCCGAUUGGGAAGGAA